rnacentral:pre_miRNA from 1 species
CUAAUACUCCCUCCGUCCGGAAAUACUUGUCAUUAAAAUGAAUAAAAGGGGAUGUAUCUAGACGUAUUUUAGUUCUAGAUACAUCUCUUUUUAUCCAUUUUGAUGACAAGUAUUUUUGGACGGAGGGAGUACAUG